CGUCACCACCAUGGUAGGCCUCUAUCCACUGAUGGCAGUGGUACUUCUCCUAGCAAGCUAGAGGCAUCAAACACACUUUUUGCUAAGCCAAAGGCGAAGCCAGUUCUUGAAGAUGCGGCUGAAGAGGCCAACUCAAGACCUGGCAUUGCUCAAAGAUCUCGCAGCAAUCCAAAAGAGAGGUCAAUACAAUCGGAUAAACAGGCAAAGAAGAGGUUGUCUCUGCCUAACAGUGGAGGGGGAGGUACUGGGGCUCAAGCCACGAGGCAUGGCAGAAUUGCAGCUAAAGGGACACCAGAUUCUCAUAAACCUGUGAGGGACAAGUCAGCAUUAAAUGGAAAAGGGAACUCGAACACCACAAAAUCUGUUGCACAGGCUGUUGAUGUGUAGUAUUGAUACAUCCAUGGAAGAUGAGUUAUUAUUUAGGCUAUUCUCCAUUAAUGAUGCCGUGUCAGUCUGUAUAUAUAGGACGCAAAUCACAUAGCUUUCAUUCCUGUCAUAAAAUUCCAAGUUGGUUUUUGAUAUGAAAGAAGUUGAGUUGGGUUGGGUUGG
rnacentral:misc_RNA from 1 species